UAAGAUAUGGUCGGGCUCCGGGGGAGACCCCGGCGAGAGCUCACGCAUGAGAAUUUGUUUGAGGGACCGUUCCGUAGGUGAACCUGCGGAAGGAUCAUUACCGGGAGCGGGUGCCCCUGCGGCGCCCCCGCCUGCUCUUCUGCCCACGAAGCCCCGAGAUAUCCCGCCGGGCGGGUGACUGCCCGCGCGGGACCCUUUCCUGAUGCUCCCUUGCCUGUGUGGUCGGAGUGGUCCCCAUAAUAUAUGGAAAACUUUCAACAACGGAUCUCUUGGUUCCCGUAACGAUGAAGAACGCAGCAAAAUGCGAUAAUUAAUGUGAAUUGCAGAUCUUCGUGAAUCAUCAAGUUUUUGAACGCACAUUGCGCCCCUCGGUAUUCCGGGGGGCAUGCCUGUCUGAGCGUCGUUGCGACCCUCGCGCUUCCGCUCGGUGUUGGGGGCCCGUCCCGCUGGACGCCCCCGGAAACGGUCGGCGGCUGCUGUCUGGUGCCUGGCGUAGCAGAGCUUUUUUCGCUGUGGUGCCGGCGGUGGUCCGCCGCGGCUUCGUGGCCGCGCUCUGACACGUUGACCUCAGAUCACGUAGGGAUACCCGCUGAACUUAAGCAUAUCAAAA
rnacentral:rRNA from 1 species